ensembl:lncRNA
UCUAUAGUUUUCAGAAAAUCUUUCACAAAAUACUAUAGUAAGUAUUUCAUAACUGUACUAUAAUAGUUCUAGUUAUAGGUUUGUUGUUUGCCUCUCUCUGCAGGUAUCCCAGAGCUUAGUCAGUUCCAUGCUAUGAGUGUGAUGGAGUGGACAAAUGUGGAAACAACUACAGGUGAACAAGUGGAGCUGAUCAAGAUAUGAAAACCCUGGGGCAGGAGGAGUUGGGCCGGCGCCUGGAGGGAGGGGUAUGGAUUGAAAAAAUUUCUGAAUCUUCGCAUACGGUCCAUUUUUGUUUUGUUUUGUGUGUUAAAUACCUUAUAUUCCAUAUAUUAUUUAUUAGAAAUAAAUGUUUUUAGAAGAAUGUGUUAUUUUGGGAUUAUAUUAUUGAAGAACAAAGUGAGAAUUACCAAUAUUUUUGCACUAAAAUGUGAUUCUUUAAACGCCAUCUCUGUCAAAUGAGUGGUUAUUAUUUCAGACAAAAUUGUUAAUAUUAUAAUUCUUAAAUAACUCUUGACAUUAACUGUCCCUAGAAAACCUGCUGUUUUACAAAUAUAUAUUAGUGGUCAUUUACUUGUUAUGUGUGGAGAUCAUUAUUCAUUCAUUUUACUAUAAUGAACAAGCAGAGGAAAAGUUGUUUGACUGCCACUAGGGGGCAAAGCAUGACAAUCAUACGCAAAUGUUGCUUAUAGUGGAAAUGCAGCUGCCUUCUGACUGUUUUUUUUUUCUCUCUCUCUGUGUGUGGAUCUGUGUGGAUCAGGUUGGGCUUCUCUGGAGCCCUCCUGUUCUCAGGCUCUACUGGGCCGCACAGCAGAGCGGGAAUUCUGGAUGGACUAUAAGGAGACAGAAUUCCAGCAGGAAUUUGAGGAGGUCACGGUGGGCUAUCCCAUCAGUGAUGCAGGACACCUCCAAACAUCUACACAGGGCAUUGCACUACACGUGUGGAAGGUUAGAGAAUCACUAAACAAUAAUUUUUGAUUGAUUGAAAAUGUUACAUCAUGUAAUGUUAUAUGUAACGUGUUAUACAGUUGGAGAAGAAACACUUUAACCUGAUGGGGACGCUUAACAAGCCACCACGUACGAUCGGGAAGUGGUGGUACACACUCACCUGAAUCCUGGUGUUUACCUGCUGGUGCCCAGUACCUUCCUGCAGGGAACGGAGGGCCAGUUCCUUCUUACAGUUUCUU